UACGGAGGAGGCAAGCGUUAUCCGGAAUUAUUGGGCGUAAAGCGUCCGCAGGUGGCACUUCAAGUCUGUCGUCAAAGACUGGGGCUUAACCCUGGAAAGGCGGUGGAAACUGAAGCGCUAGAGUCCGGUAGGGGAGUGGGGAAUUCCUGGUGUAGCGGUGGAAUGCGCAGAUAUCAGGAGGAACACCGGUGGCGAAGGCGCCACUCUGGGCCGGUACUGACGCUGAGGAGCGAAAGCGUGGGGAGCGAACAGG
rnacentral:rRNA from 1 species